AUUAUUUUAGCUGUACUCAGCAACAUCUUCUCAGUACAAAUAUACUCCAUAUGUAUAUCUUUGGAAAGUAGCGAUCUUAAUCCCAAUCUAAAUCCCUAAUCCUAAACAAAGCCCUAAUCCCAAAUCUAACCCUCAAUCUAAUAAUAAACCCUUACCCAUAACGUAAUCCAAUGUGUAACCUGAAUUAUAACGUUAAUCCUAAUCUCAA